CCGGGUUUGGCUGUUCUUGUCAUCACAGUUUCCUGGAGAUGGCAGCAAAGUACGCAGAAGCAAGGGCACCGACCAUAACAUAAACAAGUGGCGAGAUUAAUGGCGCUGUGCAGCUCUGGGGAUGACUCUGACGAAAUGCAUCAACCUCUUCUGCUCUCAAAUGACAGGGCAGAUGCCUUCACUCCAUGGCACAUUAGAGUGGCGUGAGAAUAGGAAUUCCAUGGCUCAAUGUUGCCCACGUCAAAAUUGCCUGUGAGCACCAAUUUUAUUCUACUUGGAGCUAAGCAAUGAUAUUGCAUGCUGUGCUCAUUUAAACUCACCAUAAUCCAACUGCAUAUCUUCAGAAGAGAGAGAGAAUGAGAAAGAAAGAAAGAGCAAGAGAUGGUAAGUAGAAAUCUGUUGUUUCCACAGUUGGAAUCAGUUCUCCUGGUGUUUCUUAUGGUGUUGGUCCUUGCGAAGCUUUUAAAGUACAGUUUGACUGUACUCAAUUUUCACAUUACUUGCUGACUUUAGAACCCCACUGUCUCAGCAAGAUACUAGUCCCAGUUAAUUAGUUGUUUGCAUGUG